rfam:Oryza glaberrima chromosome 6 Oglab06_0018_12, whole genome shotgun sequence.
AACCACACUAUUAAUGAAUGGAUUCACCCAUGAUAUGACGUGGCUGUUCCACUUAGGAUGAGGACGUGACAUCCUAUUACCAGCCAUAACACUAAAUUAAUAGGAUGCCACGUCCUUAUCCUAGGUUGAACAACCACGUCAUCUGGUGAGUCUAUUCAUUGAUAGUGUGGUU